CGCGGGGUGGAGCAGUCUGGUAGCUCGUUGGGCUCAUAACCCAAAGGUCGGAGGUUCAAAUCCUUCCCCCGCUACCA
rnacentral:tRNA from 1 species